rnacentral:rRNA from 1 species
UACGGGAGGCAGCAGUGGGGAAUAUUGCACAAUGGGCGCAAGCCUGAUGCAGCCAUGCCGCGUGUAUGAAGAAGGCCUUCGGGUUGUAAAGUACUUUCAGUCGUGAGGAAGGUGUUAAGGUUAAUAACCUUAGCAAUUGACGUUAGCGACAGAAGAAGCACCGGCUAACUCCGUGCCAGCAGCCGCGGUAAUACGGAGGGUGCGAGCGUUAAUCGGAAUUACUGGGCGUAAAGGGCACGCAGGCGGUUAAUUAAGUUGGAUGUGAAAUCCCCGGGCUUAACCUGGGAAUGGCAUUCAAGACUGGUUAGCUAGAGUCUUGUAGAGGGGGUAGAAUUCCAUGUGUAGCGGUGAAAUGCGUAGAGAUGUGGAGGAAUACCGGGUGGCGAAGGCGGCCCCUGGACAAAGGCUGACGCUCAUGUGCGAAAGCGU